rnacentral:lncRNA from 1 species
UUUUCAUUUUAGAGGUGCAUGCUCACAGAGAGGUUAAAUGACUUGUCCAAGGUUCAGACCUAAAUCAGGGUCCUCAGGUCCUCUUAGUUUCAGAUCCCAGGCCUCUGUGCUGAGGGAUUUUUCUGAAAAAACAGCCUGACCUCUAGAGACUAGUAUUUUUCAAAGCUCUUUUGGAAAUUAAUGAGUGCUCUUUUAAUGCUUUUGAAUGCCAAGGAGAAUAUGCUGUCCACACAUAAUUGCACACAGCAUUUCUUCUGCAUGCAGAGGCUAAAAGCCUUCUGCCAUGUUUGAACCAAUGUAAACAUCACAGAUGCUUCCAUGGGCAGCCUCCUCUGACUUAUGAAUGUCUUCUUUUGGAGGAUUUUCCCACAACCUAAAAAAAAAAAAAAAAAAUCACUUCUAACUUCUGCUCCAGAACUGUGAAGUGACAUUGAAAAAAGAAAUAAUUUGUUAAGAUUUUUUUUUAGUUUAUCAUCAAAUAACCUUCUAGAUCUCCCCAAAUAGCAUGCAUUUAUGCCUCCUCUCUACCGCACAUUGUUCUAAAUGCUUUGUUUUAUGUCCCUUAAUCCUCACAAAUAUAUACUGUAGGAAUUAUAAUUACCCAAUUUUGAAAAUGAGGGACAGAGAGUUUGUGGACUUAAAUCUUGACAAAUAGUAGAACUACGAUGCAAAUAGCCCUGUAGUAUAACCACCUCUUCCUUCACGGCUGCCCCCAGACACAUUCAGUCAGGCUCCUGCCAAUUCUAGCUCUCAAGUUAAAUUUCUACUGAAUACUCACGUUUUAAUUUCACCAAAGAAUCGAGGAGCAUCAUUUUCUACUGCCGCAGAGGCAUUCUAAGGAAGAAUGUACAUUUCAGAGUGCCUACUAUGGCUGCAUAGGAAUUGGACAUAAAUGAGCAGAACAAAGGCUUGAUAACUUGGAUGGUCCUUCACUGAUCAAAACCAGAUGUCAAAUGCUUGGAAAAAAAAGGCAUUAAUCACACAUAAUUGAGGAAUACUGUCUCUAUAGGACAAGAUAAAUGUUUCCCCACUUUAGUAAUUAGCCUUUAUUGAACAUGAGAGCCUGUCAAAUAGAGACAAUAAUAACCUCGUCUUUCCAACACGUUCUAAGGACCCAUUUGUUUUUUACAUAUUUUUGAAUACUUGAAGUUAUAGAAAUAAACACAUCUAUUAUUUUUCUUUGUGUCAUAAUUCUAAGAAGACCUCUGUCCUUCCACCAUACAAGAAAUACAAACAAAUCAUGGCAGCCAGCAUUUCUUUAUAUUUAAAGAUUAGGUUCACAAACACUUGGGUAUGUGAAAGUCUCAAAGCUCAAGGGAAAAAGGAUGGCUGUUGAAGUCAUUCCUUACUGUGGGAUUUUCCUUUAGUCAUUCAUUUUCUCCCUCUACUCUGAGUUAUCUCUAAGAGAAGAAAACUGAUAAAAAAUAGUUUUUGGAAGUUCCCAUCGUGGCGCAGCAGAAACGAAUCCGACUAGGAACCAUGAGGUUGAGGGUUCGAUCCUUAGCCUCACUCAGUGGGUUAAGGAUCCAGUGUUGUCGUGAGCUGUGGUGUUGCUGUGCCUGUGGCAUAGGCCAGCAGCUACAGUUCCAGUUGGACCCCUAGCCUGGGAACCUCCAUAUGCCGCAAGUGUGGCCCUGAAAAAACCAAAAACCAAGAAAAAAAAAAGAAAAACAGGAAAUCGGUAGUCGUAAAGGCCAAAAUAUUUUCUGACUUUCAUACCUUUCAAGAAAAAGAAAAGAAAGUCUUCGCUACAUGGAAGCUAGAGUCAGAAGCACAAGAUAAAAUCCUGUUAAUAGUAUGACCAUACUGUUUAUAUAUGGAAGGUGUUUAUAAAAUCUUCCUGGAUGAAUGAUAAAAUUAGAACAAUCAAAGGAGAAAUGUUGGAAUUUCAGAGAAAAGCAUGACAGGGGAUUUAGGAGAAAAAAGCCUAACAAAACUGAUUUAUUACAUGCAAUAUAGACACACUUGUCAAACUCAAGAAAGUUAAAUGUAUAAUUGACUCGGUCUCUUCACUGAGUUAAAUAUAAAGUUAAUUGCAAAGAUGCCAACAAAGCUUUCCAUCGAAAACUAGAAGUGAAGGCCAGGUGCUUUCUUGCCUUUGUUAUUUACAGACAGGAAUGGGAUCAUAAGGAUAAUGCCAACUCAGUGGUUUAACUUGGGUGUUUUGUAAGAGUUUCUAAAUACCCUCUUUUUCCGAGUCAUAGCUGAUACACAAAAAAAGAGGUUGUUAAAUUACACCUCUAUCAAUGCAUAUUUUGAAUGGAAUGGGGGUAAUACUCUAUGUUACCCCCAUGUCAAUCCUAAAUUAUUUGAUAAAUAAAAACCAGGGUUUUGAUGAAUUGUCUUGUGGAGCAGUGGGUUAAGGAUCUGAGGGACCCAGUCUUGUCACUGCGGUAGCCAGUAGCCCGAGUCGCCGCUCUAGUGCAGGUUCGAUCCGUGGCCCAGAAACUUCCCCGUGCUUCAGGCAUGGCCAGAUUAAUUAAUCAAUUAAUUAAACUAAAUUAAAGAAAAACAAGCCUUUUGAAAGGAAAGCUUCUAGUCAGAGGGAGCUUCAAAAAGAGCUGAGUUCUCUUUAUUUUGUCAAGCGUGUGAUUGGAACUCAAUAUGUACUCUUGUAAAGAAUUUCUUAAAUCUCCCUUUAUUCAAUAAUAUUGUCAACAUAAUUUAUCACAUGAACUUUCACUACUGAACGUUUCACAAGAUGUUUCUGUAGAACAUUAGGUUCAGAAAUUCUGGCAUUAGGAAACAAGCUGUUAAAAUUUUGGUCAAGGGCAUCCAGUGGCAUUACAUUUCCUUCUCGGUUUUACUUGAUCCUUGUAAAAUUCUCCUUGCCCAACCUAAGCUUAUAAGAACUUGCUGAGUUCUCUUUUUCGAAGAACAUCAUGCCCAAAGCAAUUUUGUUUGUUUGUUUGUUUGUUUGUUUGUUUGUUUUGGUAAGGAGUGAAGUUCAGUAAAAAUGGUAAGAUAGGAGUUGAAUCUGCAUCUCCUUUUCUGAUAGCUUUGCUUUUGCUUAGGGACAGAGCAUUAUGUUAAAUACUGUUUAGAACUGGAGUCCUUAGCCUUUGUAGAUUCUAGAAAUGCAUUUCUUACGUCCUGGCUUAAGGAAAUGGAGAAUUUGAGUGCUUCUUCCACUCAGAUGAGCUCCACAACUAUUUUCUAAGAAUCUGACUUUAGGAGUUCCCAUCGUGGCUCAGCGGAAAAUGAAUCUGACUGGCAACCAUGAGGCCACAUGUUUGAUCCCUGGCCUCGCUCACUGGGUUAAGGAGCCAGCGUUGCUGUGAGUUGUGGUGUAGGUCACAGGUGCGACUGGGAUCUGGCAUUGCUGUUGCUGUGGCUGUGGUGUAGGCCGGCGGCUACAGCUCCGAUUUAACCCCUAGCAUGGGAACCUCCAUAUGCCUCAGUGCAGCCCUAAAAAGACAAAAAAAAUUUUUUUAAUUAAAAAAAAGAAUCUGACGUUGCAUGACUAGUCACAGAACUCAUACAAAGACUUCGAUGAAUCAUUUCAGAUUAAAAGAUCAAUGUUUGAAGUCUGACUUAGUUAAUACAUCUAAAAAGAAAUGUACCACCUGUCUAUUAGUCAAAACGUCCAUUGUGAAAUACUAAUACCAAGUGAGGUUCUGCUAUUAUUUUUGCAUUUCGCCACAUAUGAAACAUGUUUUCCUUUUGUUUAUGAUUGUGAAGGGUAGCAAGGCAUGCCACCCCAAGAUCUGCCACUUUGGUAUAUUAAUAUUUUGCAUUGGAGCACUUUAAAAACAGCAAUUGCAGGAGAGGCUUUCUCUGAACACCCCUUAUCUGCCUAAAGAUAGAUUCUCCAGAAACUCAGUUGUCAUAAAUCCCCUCCCUGGGAGAUUCAUCAACCAGGGAAGAUGGACCCAUCACAGGAGAGGAGACCAGAAGUUGGCACCACAUUCAGACAGGCUUCAUCUCAAACUAUCAUCCCUCCCAUCAGUUCUUCUAAGGGCCCAUUCAUUCAUCAGUCCUAAAAGCCAGUUACUUGGCCAUAAGACACCUACAUCCCCCCUACCCUUUCCUAUUAUAAUGGUAUUUAAUCCUAAAUUUUAAACCACCUGGGAGAGUUCCUCAUCUUUUCCUGAUGAGGUUCCCAGGUAUGCAUAAGGUAUACAUGUUAAUAAAUAUCUAGAUUGUUUUUCUCUUAAUUCGUAAGGCUUGUUUGUCCUUCUCAGUGUUUAUUACAAAGGCCGCAGCGAAAAACUCACAAGUGUAGAAGGGGAUUUAGUUUUCCUCCACUGCAAUUGUCAGUGUAAUAAAAACUGCCUUCUUUCUGUAACUGAGGUUAAAAUAAAGAAGCCGCUUUGUUGAUUAUUAUGGAUGUCUUUUAAAUUAAGUACAUACUAUUUAGCCUGGUAUACAAGUGUUCAGUAAAUUCUCUUUUCACGGUAAUGAUUCUGUAGCUGAAGUAUAUUGCCAGGGAAUACAUACUAAUUGACUGCAAGUAGCACUUCUUUCUGUCACCACUUCUUUUGGAAAAACAUGGAAAUGUUGGCCCCGGAGCCUCUCAGAUCUGUAGGCUCUUCAGAAGAAGCCAAUCACCUUUUCCACCCAGCUCUGCAUUAUUCAAAUGUCCCAAGAGAACAGUCUUUGGCACCAUUUCUAAGACUCCAUUCUAAUAAGACAUCAACUUAACAUUCAUCUUAUUAUAAGUGAUACCCGAUGAGUCACUCACUUAAGACUCGGGCCUUGGAGUUCCCAUUGUGGCUCAGCGGGUUACGAACCCAGCUAGUAUCCAUGAGGACGCGGGUUGAUCCCUGGCCUUGCCCAGUGGGUUAAGGAUCCAGCGUUGCCAGGAGCAGUGGUGUAGUUUGCAAACGAAGUUCGGAUCCAGUGUUGCUAUGGCUGUGGCCUAGGCCGGCAGCUGUAGCUCUGAUUUGACCCCUAGGCUGGGAACUUCCAUAUGCC